rnacentral:rRNA from 1 species
UACGUAGGGGGCGAGCGUUGUCCGGAGUUACUGGGCGUAAAGCGCACGCAGGCGGUCUGCUAAGUUUGGAGUGACAGUUGGUGGCUUAACUGCCAAAGUGCUUCGAAAACUGAACAGACUUGAGGGCUUCAGAGGGACACGGAAUUCCGGGUGGAGUGGUGAAAUGCGUAGAGAUCCGGAGGAACACCAAAGGCGAAGGCAGUGUCCU